rnacentral:tRNA from 1 species
CGGGGCGUAGCGCAGUCUGGUUGAGCGCGCCUGCUUCGGGAGCAGGAGGUCGGAGGUUCAAAUCCUCUCGCCCCGA